rnacentral:rRNA from 1 species
UACAGAGGUUUCAAGCGUUGUUCGGAUUCAUUGGGCGUAAAGGGUGUGUAGGUGGCGCCGUAAGUCGGGUGUGAAAUUUCGGAGCUUAACUCCGAAACUGCAUUCGAUACUGCGGUGCUUGAGGACUGGAGAGGAGACUGGAAUUCAUGGUGUAGCAGUGAAAUGCGUAGAGAUCAUGGGGAAGACCAGUGGCGAAGGCGGGUCUCUGGACAGUUCCUGACACUGAGACACGAAGGCCAGGGGAGCAAACGGG